rnacentral:lncRNA from 1 species
GGCCCGCCCGCCGCCGGCGGAGGCGCAGCGCGGCCCGGAGCGCUGUCCACACGCGCGCCACUCGGGACGUGCGACAGGGACGACGCGGCCGGCUCCGCGGGCCAGGAGGGGACGGUGAAGACGGGCACGGCGACGGGGUCGGUGACACGGGCCUCGAAGGGACUUGAGGAGCCUGAACCUGAGGUAGCCGGUGGAGUAGAGACGGAGAGAGAGACACAGACAGAGAGACAGAGACGCACAGAGAGGGGCAGAGACGGGCGGGCUGACGGGGUGGGGACGCGCCGCCCGGCCGCAGCCAACCCUCCGGACAGGGAGCGAGUGCGCGCCGCCCGGACGCCCGCUCUGGUUUUAACCGGCUCUCGCAACUUUUCGGGGGACAAAGAACCUGAAACGACGGGAGGGGCCGCACGGCCUGCGCACGCGCCCUCCGGCGGCUCCUCACGUCUGCUCUGCGCAGGUCCGGGACGGGAGGCGGUGGCGUCUCCCGCAUCUGCGCACGCGCCCUCCGACGGCUCCUCGCGUCUAUCCGGCGCGGGUGCAGGGCGGGAAGCAGCGGCAUCUCCCGCGUCUGCGCACGCGCCCUCCGGCGGCUCCUCGUGUCUGCUCUGCGCGGGUCCGGAGCAGGAACUGGCGGCGUCUCCCGCGUCUGCGCACGCGCCCUCCAACGGCUCCUCGCUUCUGUCCGUUGCGGGUCCAGGCCCGGAAGCGGCGGCGUCUCCUGAGGACCCGCGGUCCGGCCGUUGCUGUGGCCCAAGCCGGGAGCAGCGCGGAGAACGCGGACGGGGACGUCGCCACCCAGGAGCUCAGGCCGGCCUCUCCGGGCGGGUCCUCGGGAGCGGACGCCCUGAGGGCGUGGACACCCGCCGUGUGCGCGAAUACACGCGCGGGUGUAGACACUUUGGAACAUCUCUGGAAAAUUCUGCCGCUUCUGAGGAGGGGCCCGGGCCAAGGGCGCUUCCACCGAGCAGCCUCAGCUCCUCUGCGGUGCCCCGCCAGGAGGCGCCCCGCGGCCUGCACCUCGCUCACCGCGCUGACCCCGAGCCCCGUCCCCACCGCGGCCACCUGGCCCGGCCCAAGAGGCCCGUCUGGUGGUUUAAACACCACCCGCCUGCAGAGCCUCCCACAGCCGCGUCUCCCCUGCUCCCCCCAGAGUCCCGGAUCCCGCUGCCAGCUGGACAUCAUCCGCGGACGUCCACGUGGCCCAGAGCCAGCACCGCGAUGACCGUGUGUGCGUGA